GCGUGAGCCACCGCGCCCGGCUGCAAGUUAGUUUUCUAAAUGGCACAUGUCACAUCAGCAUCUGUCUUCACUUCGAUAUAUAUAUUCAUAUUUAGCUCCUAUCUGUUCCACUGCCUCAAGACAUUCUCCCUGUUCCCUGCCUCCUGCCACCUUCUCCCUCUGCACAUCACUGGCUGUGAAGGUUCAGAUGCCCAGAAGAAACGUUUUCCACAUCUUCACCACCUCUUCACACUAACCCAUGCACAAUUUCUAGCUCUGCUUUAGUAGAUCUAAGGUCACUGACUCAUGACUCAGAAAAGUCAAAUGCAAAUCAUAGGAAAAGCCUGUCUUCACUGCUUCAAAGUUAUGUUUACAAUAGGCUUGUUAUUUACUUUUACUUAAAAUUAGAAACAGUCGAAAAAAAUGAAAUGCAUGGCCUACUUUGGUUCCUUUUCAAAAUAAACUGGCCUAAUGGUUCUCCACAAACACAAGCAACUCAAUUUUUAAUCAAAAAAUGUACUUCUUGCCUCAAAGACUUUACUAAAAUAAUGUUUUUGGUUCUUAACUAUAGAAACAGUUUCACCACUGGAAAAUGUGAACAUGAGGUAGAUACAGCUUAAGAAGUUAAAAGUCUUGAAUUAGGAAAUUAAGGUGUUGUCAUUGACUUUAAACACCUAUAGACUUUGUAAUUCAUAUUACAGUUUGGCUUCCCAUUGCUCGAAGUGUUUGCCUUCCUAAUAAUGACAGACUUGCUGUUCUCCCCCAGGCUCUAAAAGGUAGCAUGUGGAACCCGGGGGAGUUAUGAGACCUGGAUUUGGGUUCUCACUGCCAGUUGACAGCCAGAUAUAUGAUCUUGGCGUCCAUUCGCCCCGCUGGCCUCAGCCUUCCUGCUGUAAAAAGGGGGUUGACAGCAGGCUCCUUAAGACUGCCUCCACCUCUGCCCCCCGACCUUAGCUCAUCCUCCUCUAUUCCAUUAUCCCUGAAGCAUUUGCCUCCUCAUGUAUCUCCUUCCCAAAAGACAAGAUGGCUGGCAGCACGGAAGUGAAAAGGGAAAGAAAGGCUGUUUAAAAAAAAAAAAUUCUAAAAUGAGUCACCUUUCAAGAAUUUCCCAUUUCCUCAUGCCUGGGUGCUUCCUCGUGUCGCUAAAUCAGUUCUUCCAAUGAAACUUGAUCUAAGAACCUGGUAUUUGUUAUGUGCACUGCUCUUGGAUGAUGUUUACAAUGUGCACACAUCUCUUUUAAGAGCUUGUAGGUAUCAAACGACCUCCAGGUUGUGCAUCAAAAAGACAUCAGCAGCCACAGAGUCAACUUUAGUUGAGCCUGGAGAAAAUCAUACAAAACCGUAGAGUUUUAACUAGGUUUUGUAUCAUCUUUUGAUAAGUUAGGAAAAAUAAUUACAGCUCUCCAAACUUCCCACUUAACAACUCCCAGGACCCUGCAGCACCCUAAAAUCUAGCCAGCUCCAAGAAUCACUCUCUACUCCAUACCCGGAUGAGCCUUGACUCACACUAAUUCCCUCCCUGAGGCUUAAGUCAGGGGGCAGCUGAUGGUUGUGGUCUGUGCUGCUUCCGCCUGGCCUAUUUUUCAUGCUGCCAUUUUGAAUUAGCAUAGGUUUCCUCCGCAACUGAUGCAUCUUCUAACCAGGCUGGGAACACAACACGCGCACACGCGCACACACACACGCACGCACCCACCCCACCCGGCUGCCGGACGCAAGCGUAAGUCAAGGACUUGCAUGCUAGAAUCAGACAGAAAAUCCAGAAAAGCCACGUUAUUUAACAGAACCCUACAAGGUCAGCUUUGAGUCAAAGCAGGACGGAGCCCUGACAGCAAUGUUUGCUACGGCCUCCCUCUGCAGUCAGCCUAAAGCAAGGAGCUGGAGGUAGAUGAGGCAAAGGUAAAGGAGACCAAAACAGUAUUUUAAAGAAAAAAUCAUUUAUCUUCAAAUAGGCUCCAAACCUAAGAUGGUGUAUACUGUUAGAGGACAAGAACCUGCUUCUAGCCAUCUUUGCGUCUCCAGGACCUGACUUGUGACCAUUCAAUAAGAGUUUGAUAGAUGGACAGACUAAUGAAUAGAUGAAGAUGAUUAGAAGCCAAAAUUUCUGAAUCUUCCUAGCACCCAGAACAUGGCUUAACAUCAAGGAAAUGCUCACUAAAUACUGUCAUAAUGGAAUGAAUGGAACCGAUGCCUAAUUGAAAAUCAUUAGGCUGUAAACCAUUUCCAUGUUCCAAUUUCUUCGUUUAUAGAACAGAAAUGAUAGUGUAACCACCUGAAAAUCCUUCACCUAGACUUCCAAAACCACACCCACCUCAUCAAUGAAGUCUGACUCUCUAGAAAGAAGCAAAUGACUGAAAUCAUGGUCCUGUGCCUUGACCAAAAUACCAUUCGUCAGAACAAAAGAAGUAGGUCAGUGAAACGGCAUUAGUAUAUCCUUCAACAGGCAAAUAAGUGAUAGUGUAGUUUGCUUUUGAAGUCGCUGUGAAAAGUUUUAGGUGAACAUCACCUACACCACAUUAAAAAUGGAAUCAAGUCAUUUUCUUUAAGAAAUGGAGUUUGAGAUAUGAGAAUUCUUUUGGGCUUUUUCUACUUAUUGGCCAAUUAUACACCCAGAUAUAUUUCUGCAAUAUUUCAAAGAUUCUAGUUCUAAUUUGUAUAAUAAAAAAAAUUAACAGCCUUUUCCAGACCACAUGUUUCCAACAAGACCUUCAAAGGCCUCGCUCGCUAUAUAAAACUGGCUUUAAACAAUUUCCUUUCCCAAAGAAGGAAAUAAGAUAUUUCGGUUUUGUAAAAGAGGCAAAACCAGGUACAGGCCACCUUUCCUGCUGGAGAGCUGGCAUAAGUGAGUGGA
rnacentral:lncRNA from 1 species